rnacentral:rRNA from 1 species
GUCCAGAUAGUUUACUUUGAAAAAAUUAGAGUGUUCAAAGCAGGCAUAAUUGGCAUCAUGAAUACAUUAGCAUGGGAUAAUAGAAUAUGACAUUGGUCUUAUUUUGUUGGUUUCUAAGGCCAAAGUAAUGAUUGAUAGGGAUAGUUGGGGCCGCUCGUAUUGAGUUGUCAGAGGUGAAAUUCUAGGAUUUACUCAAGACGAACUAAUGCGAAAGCAUUCGGCAAGGAUGUUUUCAUUAAUCAAGAACGAAAGUUGGGGGAUCGAAGAUGAUCAGAUACCGUCGUAGUCUCAACCAUAAACUAUGUCAACCGAGGAUCCGGUAGCGUUACAUGGAUGACCUUCCGGGCACUCUGUGAGAAAUCAUAAGUAUUUGGAUUUCGGGGGGAGUAUGGUCGCAAGGCUGAAACUUAAAGGGAUUGACGGAAGGGCACCACCAGGAGUGGAAUCUGCGGCUUAAUUUGACUCAACACGGGGAAACUUACCAGGUCCGGACACAGUGAGGAUUGACAGAUUGAGAGCUCUUUCUUGAUUCUGUGGGUGGUGGUGCAUGGCCGUUUUUAGUUGGUGGAGUAAUUUGUCUGGUUAAUUCCGUUAACGAACGAGACCUUAACCUAUUAAAUAGUCGUGGGAACCCAGGUCUUUCAUCCUCUUUCUCAGCAAUGGGGGGGAGGAAACCAUUAUCAUAUUGGUACCCUCUGGGUAUCAUGUGGUAGUGGUGAGGAUCUGAUAGUGUUCUUAUAGGCUUCUUAGAGGGACUCUCUGCAUCUUUAGCAAAUGGAAGUUUGAGGCAAAAACAGGUCCGUGAUGCCCCA